AUUUCUUGUCUCCAUUGUAAUUGCUACACUGAUCCACAAAAUGCUGAGAUUCAGAGCCUCCUGGGUGAUUGGGCCUGGCCUCUCUUGCCAGAGCACACCAGGAACAUGGGGGCUGAGCUCCACACACCUCGCACACUCCCAGACUCUCUGCCACUGUGAAGAAAAGAAAAGAAGUGAUUCCAUUGAGACAGCAACACAAGAAAGGGAGUUGAAUGAUCUAUAUCUCUAGUUCAGUCAAGCCUUGUUGCUACAUGACAGAUCCUAGCUACUGAG